rnacentral:rRNA from 1 species
UACGGAGGGUGCAAGCGUUAUCCGGAUUCACUGGGUUUAAAGGGUGCGUAGGUGGGCAGGUAAGUCAGUGGUGAAAUCUCCGAGCUUAACUCGGAAACUGCCGUUGAUACUAUUUGUCUUGAAUAUUGUGGAGGUAAGCGGAAUAUGUCAUGUAGCGGUGAAAUGCUUAGAUAUGACAUAGAACACCAAUUGCGAAGGCAGCUCACUACACAAUUAUUGACGCUGAGGCACGAAAGCGUGGGGAUCAAACAGG